UACGUAGGGUGCAAGCGUUGUCCGGAAUUAUUGGGCGUAAAGAGCUCGUAGGCGGUUUGUUGCGUCGGCUGUGAAAUCCCGAGGCUCAACCUCGGGUCUGCAGUCGAUACGAGCAAACUAGAGUGUUGCAGGGGAGACUGGAAUUCCUGGUGUAGCGGUGAAAUGCGCAGAUAUCAGGAGGAACACCGGUAGGCGAAGGCGGGUCUCUGGGCAACAACUGACGCUGGAGGAGCGAAAGCGUCGGGGAGCGAACAGG
rnacentral:rRNA from 1 species